GGGGAUGUAACGGCUUCGACGGGGGCAAAGAGGCUUCGUAAGCGGGUAGUGCGGCGACACUUAAAACCACCAAAACUUAAAUAUAAACGCUAACAAUAGAGUAGCACAAGCUGCCUAACGCAGCCGUCUUGACCGUUUGUACCGCGCAUCGGACUCAAGGCGAAUACUAAAGCGGUGAACGUGAACGGGAGUAUGCUUCUAUCCCGUCAUGAAAUAGGAGCUACCGGGCGGUAUGCUUUGUCUGUGAGACAUAGCGUCCGGGAAAUUUAAUCACAGACUACACCCGUAGAAAGCGUUGAGGACUUGUUUUCGGACACGGGUUCAACUCCCGUCAUCUCCACCA
rnacentral:tmRNA from 1 species